AUGUGGGGGCGGCACUACUGGGGCGGCCGGCGGCCGAGCGACGGCCCCGCGGGUGCGGAGGCCGGCGGCGGCGUGGUGGUGAUGUUCGCGUGGCUGUCGAGUCAGGAGCGGCACGUGCGCGCGUACGUGGACCUGUACGCGGCCCUUGGGUGGGCGUGCCUCGUCUGCCACUCCGACUUCGUCACCCUGUUUAUGCCGGAGAAGGCUGCUGUGCUUGCUGACCGGGUGCUCACGGAGCUCGUGAAGGAACUGAAUAUUAGACCAGUACCUGUUGUGUUUGCAUCCUUUUCGGGAGGACCAAAAGGUUGCACAUACAAGGUUCUUCAGCUGAUCGAGGGAAGGUGCAAAGGGCAGCUGAGUUUGGGUGACUAUCAACUUGUACGGGACUGCGUAUGUGGACAAAUAUAUGACUCGAGUCCUGUAGAUUUUGUGAGUGAUUUAGGCACCCGCUUUCUCCUUCACCCAAGUGUCCUGAAGAUGCCUGAACCUCCACGUGUCUUAUCAUGGAUGACUAGAGGCAUUGCCUCGGGUCUAGACACUCUUUUCAUUGGCAAGUUUGAAGCACAGCGCAAAGAAUAUUGGGAGACACUAUACUCGUCAGUGCAUGUUGGCCCAAUACUCAUAUUCUGUUCAGAGGAUGAUGAACUUGCUCCAUGUUCAGUCGUUCAAAAUUUUGGACGGCGUCUGCUGGAGCUGGGUGGUGAUGUGAAUUUAGUUAAAUGGCACAGUUCUCCACAUGUAGGACAUUACAAGCAUCACACUGAGGAAUACCGAGCUGCAGUGACUGAGCUGCUCAUGAAGGCUUCAGCGCUUUACACAAGCAGAAAACGACUCAAUGACUACAGUGUCGGCACGAGUGAGGACAGUGACACACCUUAUUCGUCUCGCAAUCUACAUAAGACUGCUGUAAGCUCCAGUGAUAGGCUAGGGAGGGUUUCAGCUGAUCCAGCCAAUCAUUUCUUCUUACCGAGUUCCAUGGAGUACCACGAAAGCAGCAGUGAAGUGCUAAAACCCGAGUUGUUCAACAUGCCGAGUGUUGAAAGCGCGAAGAACCCUGAUGGCCUGUUGGGGAAGAUGCUCUAUGAUGUAUGUGUCCCAAAGAACGUGGAAGGCUGGGACUUCAAGCUUGCAUCAAUAGAUGGGCAGCGUAUGCAUUUUACUGCUCAUCAGCAUGGUACUUCCAAUCCAACAAAAUGUAUACGCCACUCAAGAUUGUAA
rnacentral:rRNA from 1 species